rnacentral:lncRNA from 1 species
AUGGGAAACCAAACGGAGGCAGCAGCGGCGCCGACAGUGGCGGUAGGGGUUUGCCUGUUGAAAGGGGAAAAGGUGUUGUUGGGACGACGCCGUUGCUCUCUUGGCUACUCCACCUUUUCCCUACCCGGUGGCCACCUCGAGCUCGGUACAUAAUUAUAUACACAAAUACAGGGGUUAAUUCUCGUCUUCCUAAUCCCAAGUCAUUAACUAAUUGGUAUUUGCGUAGGUGAAAACUGAAAACUAAAAUCGUCAUCAAACGGACCCUAAAUUAUAUUAGUUUUGUGUUUAUGUAGGUGAGAGCUUCGAGGAGUGCGCAGCAAGAGAAUUGAAGGAAGAAACUGGUUUAGACAUUGACAAGAAGAGGAUGGAGUUUCUGACAGCCAGAACAAACGAGCUGCUCCUAGAGGGAGGCAAGCCAUGCCAGUACGCGUCCGUUUGCAUGAGAGCGGUGAUGGAAGAUGGAGAUGGAGAGCCCCAAAAUGUGGAGCCAAAACUGUGUGAUGGUUGGGAUUGGUAUGAGUGGGACAACCUCCCCAAACCACUCUUUCGUCCUCUGCACAAUGCGGUGUUGGCAGGAUUUAAUCCUUUUCGUGCAUGA